rnacentral:rRNA from 1 species
UACGGAGGGUGCAAGCGUUAAUCGGAAUUACUGGGCGUAAAGCGCGCGCAGGCGGAUGCACGCGUCCCGCGUGAAAUCGCCCGGCUCAACCGGGCGGGGUCGCGGGAUACGGUGCGUCUGGAGCACGGGAGGGGGCAGUGGAAUUCCCGGUGUAGUGGUAGAAUGCGUAGAGAUCGGGAGGAACACCAGUGGCGAAGGCGACUGCCUGGACCGUGGCUGACGCUGAGGCGCGAAAGCGUGGGGAGCGAUCCGG